rnacentral:rRNA from 1 species
GACGAACCGUGCGAACGUUAUUCGGAAUCACUGGGCUUAAAGCGCGUGUAGGCGGGCCAUCACGUCGGUCGUUGAAAGCCCCGGGCUCAACCUGGGAACCGCGCUUGAGACUGGCAUGCUCGAGUUCGGGAGAGGAUGGUGGAAUUCCCAGUGUAGAGGUGAAAUUCGUAGAUAUUGGGAAGAACACCGAUGGCGAAGGCAGCCAUCUGGACCGACACUGACGCUGAGGCGCGAAAGCGUGGGGAGCGAACAGG